CCGGGGCGCGCCCCGGGCGGGGCGGGGGCACGGGGGGAACGCGAAGAACCUUACCUGGCCUUGACAUCCAGAGAACUUAGCAGAGAUGCUUUGGUGCCUUCGGGAACUCUGAGACAGGUGCUGCAUGGCUGUCGUCAGCUCGUGUUGUGAAAUGUUGGGUUAAGUCCCGCAACGAGCGCAACCCUUAUCCUUUGUUGCCAGCGGUUCGGCCGGGAACUCAAAGGAGACUGCCGGUGAUAAACCGGAGGAAGGUGGGGAUGACGUCAAGUCAUCAUGGCCCUUACGGCCAGGGCUACACACGUGCUACAAUGGCGCAUACAAAGAGAAGCGACCUCGCGAGAGCAAGCGGACCUCAUAAAGUGCGUCGUAGUCCGGAUUGGAGUCUGCAACUCGACUCCAUGAAGU
rnacentral:rRNA from 1 species